rnacentral:rRNA from 1 species
AAUGGGGCACCUGCAUCAGUCUACCGCGUGAGUGAAGAAGGCCUUCGGGUUGUAAAGCUCUUUCGCAAGGGAAGAAAACUUAUGAUCGAAUAAAUCAUGAGGUUGACGGUACCUUGAUAAGAAGCACCGGCUAACUACGUGCCAGCAGCCGCGGUAAUACGUAGGGUGCGAGCGUUAAUCGGAAUUACUGGGCGUAAAGCGUGCGCAGGCGGUUUUGUAAGUCGGAUGUGAAAUCCCCGGGCUCAACCUGGGAACUGCGUUCGAAACUGCAAGGCUAGAGUGUGUCAGAGGGGGGUAGAAUUCCACGUGUAGCAGUGAAAUGCGUAGAGAUGUGGAGGAAUACCAAUGGCGAAGGCAGACCCCUGGGAUAACACUGACGCUCAUGCACGAAAGCGUGGGGAGCAAACAGGAUUAGAUACCCUGGUAGUCCACGCCCUAAACGAUGUCAACUAGUUGUUGGUAGAGUAAAAUCUAUGAGUAACGUAGCUAACGCGUGAAGUUGACCGACUGGGGAGUACGGUCGCAAGAUUAAAACUCCAAGGAAUUGACGGGGGCCCGCACAAGCGGUGGAUCAUGUGGAUCAAUUCGAUGCAACGCGAAAAAACUUACCUGGCCUUGACAUUGUACCGAAUUGAGCAGAGAUGUUCAAA